GGGGAUGUACCGGUUUCGACAGGAGAUUCCAUAUCAUAAAUAGCGAGUCGGGAUUCCAUCAACCCCGCUAAACGGUGGAAAACCUUAAACGCAAAACAAGAUUUUGCUUUAGCAGCUUGAUCUGCUAAUGUCCCUUGUUGUUUUCCUAUGACGGCAAGCUGACAUCAACGAAUAGGAUACCGAAAAUGGAAGUUCAGGACAUUGGAGGGAAAGCCAUUCUGAAAUCGGUAAAGGAAGUUUGUUAUUGUACGAAACUUUACUUAAAUUAAAACAAUAACUGCACUCGGAGAAGUUUAUGGGGUGGGCUUUUUGGACAGGGGUUCGACUCCCCUCAUCUCCACCA
rnacentral:tmRNA from 1 species